rnacentral:rRNA from 1 species
UACGAAGGGGGCUAGCGUUGCUCGGAAUCACUGGGCGUAAAGGGUGCGUAGGCGGGUCUUUAAGUCAGGGGUGAAAUCCUGGAGCUCAACUCCAGAACUGCCUUUGAUACUGAAGAUCUUGAGUUCGGGAGAGGUGAGUGGAACUGCGAGUGUAGAGGUGAAAUUCGUAGAUAUUAGGAAGAACACCAGUGGCGAAGGCGGCUCACUGGCC